ACAGAUUGAGAGCUCUUUCUUGAUUCUGUGGGUGGUGGUGCAUGGCCGUUUUUAGUUGGUGGAGUAAUUUGUCUGGUUAAUUCCGUUAACGAACGAGACCUUAACCUAUUAAAUAGUCGUGGGAACCCAGGUCUUUCAUCCUCUUUCUCAGCAAUGGGGGGAGGAAACCAUUAUCAUGUUGGUACCCUCUGGGUAUCGCGUGGUAGUGGUGAGGAUCUGAUAGUGUUCUUAUAGGCUUCUUAGAGGGGACUCUUUGCAUCUUUAGCAAAUGGAAGUUUGAGGCAAAAACAGGUCUGUGAUGCCCUUCGAUGUUCUGGGCUGCACGCGCGUUACAAUGACGCAUGCAACGAGUUAUUAAAUUCCUGGCCCGAUGGGGUUGGGUAAUCUUUUUAAAGUGCGUCGUGAUGGGGAUG
rnacentral:rRNA from 1 species